rnacentral:rRNA from 1 species
ACGCUGGCGGCAGGCCUAACACAUGCAAGUCGAGCGGUGGCACAAGAGAGCUUGCUCUCUGGGUGACGAGCGGCGGACGGGUGAGUAAUGUCUGGGAAACUGCCUGAUGGAGGGGGAUAACUACUGGAAACGGUAGCUAAUACCGCAUGACCUCGCAAGAGCAAAGUGGGGGACCUUCGGGCCUCACGCCAUCGGAUGUGCCCAGAUGGGACUAGCUAGUAGGUGGGGUAAUGGCUCACCUAGGCGACGAUCCCUAGCUGGUCUGAGAGGAUGACCAGCCACACUGGAACUGAGACACGGUCCAGACUCCUACGGGAGGCAGCAGUGGGGAAUAUUGCACAAUGGGCGCAAGCCUGAUGCAGCCAUGCCGCGUGUGUGAAGAAGGCCUUAGGGUUGUAAAGCACUUUCAGCGAGGAGGAAGGCGUUGUAGUUAAUAGCUGCAGCGAUUGACGUUACUCGCAGAAGAAGCACCGGCUAACUCCGUGCCAGCAGCCGCGGUAAUACGGAGGGUGCAAGCGUUAAUCGGAAUUACUGGGCGUAAAGCGCACGCAGGCGGUUUGUUAAGUCAGAUGUGAAAUCCCCGAGCUUAACUUGGGAACUGCAUUUGAAACUGGCAAGCUAGAGUCUUGUAGAGGGGGGUAGAAUUCCAGGUGUAGCGGUGAAAUGCGUAGAGAUCUGGAGGAAUACCGGUGGCGAAGGCGGCCCCCUGGACAAAGACUGACGCUCAGGUGCGAAAGCGUGGGGAGCAAAC